rnacentral:lncRNA from 1 species
GAUGCUUUCAGGCUCCUUCAUUCUAAAGAGUUCAUAUUCAUGUGUUAGAAAAUCAACUCUAGCUUCUCGGACUUGAGGCGUACCUUCAUAAGUGAUUUCAAGCUUAUCCCACAUCUCUUUGGCGGUUGUGCAGCAAGAGAUUUUCUGAUAGUCAUCCGGAUUCACGGCACAAUACAACAUAUUGAUGGCCUUUGCGUUAAUUUCAAUCUUCUUGAUGUCUUCGGCAUUAUAUUCAUCUUCCUCCUUUGGAACCAUGAUUUCCC